rnacentral:tRNA from 1 species
GCUGGAUUCGUCUAGUUGGCCUAGGACGUAAGGUUUUCAUCCUUAAAAUCAGGGGUUCGAAUCCCCUAUCCAGUA